rnacentral:misc_RNA from 1 species
CGGUAACAGAGAUCCCAUUCUAGCAUUGUUUGCAACCUAGUCAGCACAUUUGUUUGCUGCUCUAGGAAUAUAUCUAAUUACACAUGAAGGAUAGAUCGACAAGAAACUCUUAAUGUCAUGAAUGAAAGGCUCAACAUCCCAAGGCCAAAUUGAAGCAUGAGAAGAGAGUAACAGAACCAGUUGCUGAGAGUCAGUUUCAACAGAGACGGGAGAAAAACCUCUAUUAGCAAUAAAAAGACAUAUUGUUCUAAGAGCAUAAGCCUCAGCUGCAAGGGGAGAAUGACUGAUGUACUUUGCAGCACAACCAUCAAUCAACAUGCUUUUUGCAUUCCUCACAGUCACUCCAUGCCCAGCAUAAAAGGAUUCUCCAUCAAAAGACGCAUCAACAUUGACCUUCACAUUACCAACGGAAGGAGGAGUCCAAUGGUGGCUUUGAGAAACUACCUCUCUACUAGGAGGAUUCUCAGAAUGCUGUUGUGGAAUAGCUAGAUUGAGCAUUUCAUCAAGACCAUUCUGAGCUUUCCUGAUAGUAUCACUCCGAUCAAGGCGUGAAGAAUUGAA